AAAAAAAAAAAACAAAAAACCACAGGUUGCCGAUAACCCUGACCACAGAGAGCCCUGCUUAUCACCAAUAUCUCCUGUCUUCUCUGACAUAGACCAGCCAUCAGGCCCCAAGCCUCAGCCUCAAUUUCUGCCUUAACAAUCCAUCUUCA
rnacentral:lncRNA from 1 species